rnacentral:tRNA from 1 species
GCGGCCGUGGCUUACUGCUCACGGCGUUCACUUUGUAAGCGAAUGGUCCUGGGUUCGAUUCCCAUCUGCUCCC